rnacentral:rRNA from 12 species
CCGAGGGACAUUGCGUGGUGGGUAGUUUGACUGGGGUGGUCGCCUCCAAAAGAGUAACGGAGGCUUUCAAAGGUACCCUCAGCACGCUUGGUAACCGUGCGCAGAGUGCAAUAGCAUAAGGGUGCUUGACUGUGAGGCCUACAAGCCGAGCAGGUAGGAAACUAGGAUAUAGUGAUCCGGCGGUUCUGUAUGGAAGGGCCGUCGCUCAAAGGAUAAAAGGUACUCCGGGGAUAACAGGC